rnacentral:rRNA from 1 species
UACGUAGGGGGCAAGCGUUGUCCGGAUUUAUUGGGCGUAAAGAGCGUGUAGGCGGUUUGGUAGGUCCGUUGUGAAAACUCGAGGCUCAACCUCGAGACGCCGAUGGAAACCAUCAGACUAGAGUCCGGAAGAGGAGAGUGGAAUUCCUGGUGUAGCGGUGAAAUGCGCAGAUAUCAGGAGGAACACCAAUGGCGAAGGCAGCUCGCUGGGACGUGACUGACGCUGAGGCACGAAAGCGUGGGGAGCAAACAGG